rnacentral:rRNA from 1 species
GAUGAACGCUGACAGAAUGCUUAACACAUGCAAGUCAACUUGAAUUUGGGUUUUUAACUUAGAUUUGGGUGGCGGACGGGUGAGUAACGCGUAAAGAACUUGCCUCACAGCUAGGGACAACAUUUAGAAAUGAAUGCUAAUACCUGAUAUUAUGAUUUUAAGGCAUCUUAGAAUUAUGAAAGCUAUAAGCACUGUGAGAGAGCUUUGCGUCCCAUUAGCUAGUUGGAGAGGUAACAGCUCACCAAGGCGAUGAUGGGUAGCCGGCCUGAGAGGGUGAACGGCCACAAGGGGACUGAGACACGGCCCUUACUCCUACGGGAGGCAGCAGUGGGGAAUAUUGGACAAUGGGCGAAAGCCUGAUGCAGCGACGCCGCGUGAGUGAGGAAGUAUUUCGGUAUGUAAAGCUCUAUCAGCAGGGAAGAAAGAAAUGACGGUACCUGAGUAAGAAGCUCCGGCUAAAUACGUGCCGGCAGCCGCGGUAAUACGUAUGGAGCAAGCGUUAUCCGGAUUUACUGGGUGUAAAGGGAGCGUAGGCGGCAGAGCAAGUCUGAUGUGAAAGCCCGGGGCUCAACCCCGGUAGUGCAUUGGAAACUGUUCAGCUCGAGUGUCGGAGGGGUAAGCGGAAUUCCUGGUGUAGCGGUGAAAUGCGUAGAUAUCAGGAAGAACACCGGAGGCGAACGCGGCUUACUGGACGAUUACUGACGCUGAGGCUCGAAAGCGUGGGGAGCGAACAGG